rnacentral:miRNA from 8 species
GACCCUGGUCUGCACUCUAUC